GACGAACGCUGGCGGCGUGCCUAAUACAUGCAAGUAGAACGCUGAAGCGAGGAGCUUACUCUUCUUGGAUGAGUUGCGAACGGGUGAGUAACGCGUAGGUAACCUGCCUUGUAGCGGGGGAUAACUAUUGGAAACGAUAGCUAAUACCGCAUAACAAUGGAUGACACAUGUCAUUUAUUUGAAAGGGGCAAUUGCUCCACUACAAGAUGGACCUGCGUUGCAUUAGCUAGUAGGUGAGGUAAUGGCUCACCUAGGCGACGAUACAUAGCCGACCUGAGAGGGUGAUCGGCCACACUGGGACUGAGACACGGCCCAGACUCCUACGGGAGGCAGCAGUAGGGAAUCUUCGGCAAUGGGGGCAACCCUGACCGAGCAACGCCGCGUGAGUGAAGAAGGUUUUCGGAUCGUAAAGCUCUGUUGUAAGUCAAGAACGGGUGUGAGAGUGGAAAGUUCACACUGUGACGGUAGCUUACCAGAAAGGGACGGCUAACUACGUG
rnacentral:rRNA from 1 species